rnacentral:rRNA from 1 species
AACGAACGCUGGCGGCAGGCUUAACACAUGCAAGUCGAGCGCCCCGCAAGGGGAGUGGCAGACGGGUGAGUAACACGUGGGAACGUGCCCUUCGCUUCGGGAUAGCCUCGGGAAACUGGGAGUAAUACCGAAUACGCCGUAUUGGGAAAGAUUUAUCGGCGAAGGAUCGGCCCGCGUUGGAUUAGCUAGUUGGCGGUGUAAUGGACCACCAAGGCUACGAUCCAUAGCUGGUCUGAGAGGACGACCAGCCACACUGGGACUGAGACACGGCCCAGACUCCUACGGGAGGCAGCAGUGGGGAAUCUUGGACAAUGGGCGCAAGCCUGAUCCAGCCAUGCCGCGUGAGUGAAGAAGGCCUUAGGGUUGUAAAACUCUUUUCGCCGGUGAAGAUAAUGACGGUAACCGGAGAAGAAGCCCCGGCGUAACUUCGUGCCAGCAGCCGCGGUAAU